ACUAAACAUAUUAAGAAAUGUCGUAUAAUCUUGGGAAUAUGGCCCGAAAGUUUCUACCGAGCUACCGUAAAUGGCUUGACUACGAGCAACUCUGUAUAUACA
rnacentral:ncRNA from 2 species